rnacentral:rRNA from 1 species
CACGUAGGGCGCAAGCGUUGUCCGGAAUUAUUGGGCGUAAAGAGCUCGUAGGCGGUCUGUUGCGUCCGCUGUGAAAACUCGGGGCUUAACCCCGAGCCUGCAGUGGAAACCAUCAGACUAGAGUCCGGAAGAGGAGAGUGGAAUUCCUGGUGUAGCGGUGAAAUGCGCAGAUAUCAGGAAGAACACCCGUGGCUAAGGCGGCUCUCUAGUACGGUACUGACGCUGAGACGCGAAAGCGUGGGGAGCGAACAGG